rnacentral:lncRNA from 1 species
ACAACCUUCAACUAAUGCAGGCAAUUGGGGAGAGGAUUUGUGUGACCUAAAGCAAUUUCUCCAGUGCUAUAAUUUAUGUCAGUGGUUUUAAAUGUGGGGAAGUUUUGCUCUCCACGGGACAUAAGAAUAGUUUACAAAUCUAUUGAUUAAUGGUUCAAGCCCAGUACUGGCUAUAUUUAGAAUAUUGUUGGAAGAAAAGUGGGGUAGGACUGAUCACACACACCUGGGAUAAGAAGUGUAUUUAUUGUCAGGAGCCUGACAAGGCAGCUCUGCACAUAAAGAGGGACAGCAGCAGCAAGCGAGAGAGAGCAGUGGCAACACCCCCUUGAAUGUUACUUUUAUAGGCUAGAAUCAUGGCCACGUGCCAGAGGCAGGUUUAGUCUUGACUGACAUAGUAAGCAUCUCCUGAUCUUGUGGAAGGCAAGUUUGUUUCUUGGGAACAGAGACAGGCACUUUUCCUGUCUCAAAGGGGGAACAGGGAAACUGGCAUGUCUCUUUAUCUUAUCAAGGAGAGAACAGGGAAAGCAGUACAUCCCCAUCUCAGGGGCCAGUAAGUUGUCUCCUAUCUCUCACUAAGAGAACAGGGAGAGACCAGCAUGUCUCCAGGCCAGUAGGUUUUAUCUUGGGCUACUUUAUAUUUCUUGGGAAUAAGAAUAGUAUUCAUAAAGUGGGGGUGGGAAGAAGGAAGAUGGCUGCAAUUAUACUAACAAUUGUGUUCAGUUCUGUAUACCUCAUUUAAAAAAAAAAAGUAGAUUCCUUUUUGUGGUAAGUAGUCAGGAUUGUGAUGGAACUGAGAUAUUUAACCCAGAUAUAUGAGUAUUAUCUUACAUAGACGUUCCAAGGAUGUAACUGAAUUUAAAGAUGAACAUAAUUAGAGCCCAAUAUUGAAAGUUCUGUUUUACAUAGUUCACACAUUGUUUCCUGAUUCACAGCCCAACAAAAGGAAUAUUCAAAAAGUUCAAAGUUCAGGAACUUACAACACAGCAGGCAUGGAAUAGCUAUCUAUUUAAAUAGAACAUUACUAUUGGCUAAGCAUCAAUCUAAGCACAUUAUAUAUUAACUCAUUCCUCAAAACAAUGGGUUUUGGUUUUUUGUUUGUUUGGUUGGUUUUUGUUUUUUUGUUUUUUGCAGCUUACAUAAGAGAAAUCUGAGAUUAUAAAAGCUUAAAGUUAAGGAAGUCGGAUCCUAGGCCAAUGUGGUGAAGAUUUGAGCCUAAUUUUUCUUCUAUUAGGCACAGGGUCUCUGUUUUAGUGCCUAAGUCUUUGAUCCAUUUGGAGUUGAUUUUUGUGCAGGAUGAGAUAGAGGUUUAAUUUUAUUUUGCUACAUACGGAUUUCCAGUUUUGCCAGCACCAUUUGUUGAAUAGGGCUAUCUUCGCCAAUAAAUGUUUUUGAGCCCUUGUCAUAUGAGAUAACCAUAUUUAUGUGGGUUUGUCUCUGUCCUCUAUUCUG